UACGUAGGAGGCAAGCGUUGUCCGGAAUCACUGGGCGUAAAGCGCGUGUAGGUGGAAGAGGAAGUCUGCUGUGAAAGCGCCUGGCUUAACCGGGCGAGGUCGGUGGAAACUCCUCAUCUCGAGGGCGGUAGAGGGGGUGGAAUUCCGGGUGUAGUGGUGAAAUGCGUAGAGAUCCGGAGGAACACCUGUGGCGAAGGCGGCCCCCUGGGCCGCACCUGACGCUGAGACGCGAAAGCGUGGGAGCAAACAGG
rnacentral:rRNA from 1 species